rnacentral:rRNA from 1 species
CGGGGUGCAGCAGGCGCGAAAACUUUACAAUGCUGGCAACAGCGAUAAGGGGACCUCGAGUGCCAGGAUACAAUCUUGGCUGUCGCGAUGCCUAAAAAGCAUUGCAUAGCAAGGGCCGGGCAAGACCGGUGCCAGCCGCCGCGGUAACACCGGCGGCUCGAGUGGUAACCGUUAUUAUUGGGUCUAAAGGGUCUGUAGCCGGCCGGAUAAGUCUCUUGGGAAAUCCAGCAGCUCAACUGUUGGGCUUUCAGGAGAUACUGUCUGGCUCGAGGCCGGGAGAGGUGAGAGGUACUUCAGGGGUAGGGGUGAAAUCUUGUAAUCCUUGAAGGACCACCAGUGGCGAAGGCGUCUCACCAGAACGGACCUGACGGCAAGGGACGAAAGCUAGGGGCACGAACCGGAUUAGAUACCCGGGUAGUCCUAGCCGUAAACGAUACUCGCUAGGUGUCGGCCACGGUGCGACCGUUGUCGGUGCCGUAGGGAAGCCGUGAAGCGAGCCACCUGGGAAGUACGGCCGCAAGGCUGAAACUUAAAGGAAUUGGCGGGGGAGCACAAGGGCGAUUCGCG